rnacentral:rRNA from 1 species
UACCUGCAGCUCGAGUGGUAACCGCUAUUAUUGGGCCUAAAGCGUCCGUAGCCGGUUUGGUAAAUAUCUGGGUAAAUCGUGAGGCUUAACUUCACGAAUUUCGGAUAGACUGCCAGACUUGGGAUCGGGGGAGGUCAGAGGUACUCCAGGGGUAGCGGUGAAAUGUUGUAAUCCUUGGAGGACCACCGGUAGCGAAGGCGUCUGACUAGAACGAGUCCGACGGUGAGGGACGGAGCCCUGGGGCGCAAACCGGAUUAGAUACCCCGGGUAGUCCAGGGUGUAAACUAUGUGGGCUUUGUAUUGGAGGUCCCACGUGGGCGUCCAGUGCAGAAGAGAAGUUGUUAAGCCCACCGCCUGGGAAGUACGGUCGCAAGGCUGAAACUUAAAGGAAUUGGCGGGGAGCACAGCAACGGGAGGAGCGUGCGGUUU